rnacentral:rRNA from 1 species
GACGAACGCUGGCGGCGUGCUUAACACAUGCAAGUCGAACGGAAAGGCCCUGCUUUUGUGGGGUGCUCGAGUGGCGAACGGGUGAGUAACACGUGAGUAACCUGCCCUUGACUUUGGAUAACUUUCAGUAACUGGGGCCAAUUCCGGAUAAGAACCUCUGGCGCAUGGGGGGGGUUGGAAAGGUUCGGCGGUUGGGGAUGGACUCGCGGCUUAUCAGCUUGUUGGUGGGGUAGUGGCUUACCAAGGCUUUGACGGGUAGCCGGCCCGAGAGGGUGACCGGCCACAUUGGGACUGAGAUACGGCCCAGACUCCUACGGGAGGCAGCAGUGGGGAAUAUUGCACAAUGGGCGGAAGCCUGAUGCAGCAACGCCGCGUGCGGGAUGACGGCCUUCGGGUUGUAAACCGCUUUCGCCUGUGACGAAGCGUGAGUGACGGUAAUGGGUAAAGAAGCACCGGCUAACUACGUG